GACCAACAACACCUGAGUCACUGAGUGGAGAAACAACCUGAUCAUAUGAAACCAGCUGAUUUCUGUGGGUUUAUUUCCUGGAUCUUGUGUCGUACCUGUCGGUCUGAGUCGGGCGGCGUCUGGAGUUAAAAGACAGAAUCUGAUUUUCUUGAUGUGAUGUUUCGUCUUCAGGACGUCGGAAAAGGAACAGUUUUGGUCUCAGCACACACACCUGAGCUCGUCAGCACUCCAACACAUCCUCAGACGGAUGACGAGACAAAGGGUCCCGGGGCCCCCACCUCUCCUACGUAGGAGCAAGAGCCCCAGACCGAGAGACCACGUCGUCUCACGUGAGUUCUUGUCGUUUUGUGAUUUUCUUUUGUUGUUUUGUUUCUAUUUAGAUUUUUAUUAUUG